rnacentral:rRNA from 1 species
UACGGGGGGAGCAAGCGUUGUUCGGAUUUACUGGGCGUAAAGGGCGCGUAGGCGGUCAGCACAAGUCAGUUGUGAAAUCUCCGGGCUUAACUCGGAAAGGUCAACUGAUACUGUGCGACUAGAGUGCAGAAGGGGCAACUGGAAUUCUCGGUGUAGCGGUGAAAUGCGCAGAUAUCAGGAGGAACACCGGUGGCGAAGGCGGGUCUCUGGGCCGUAACUGACGCUGAGGAGCGAAAGCAUGGGUAGCGAACAGG